UACGUAGGGUGCGAGCGUUAAUCGGAAUUACUGGGCGUAAAGCGUGCGCAGGCGGUUUUGUAAGACAGGCGUGAAAUCCCCGGGCUUAACCUGGGAACUGCGUUUGUGACUGCAAGGCUAGAGUACGGCAGAGGGGGGUGGAAUUCCACGUGUAGCAGUGAAAUGCGUAGAGAUGUGGAGGAACACCAAUGGCGAAGGCAGCCCCCUGGGUCGAUACUGACGCUCAUGCACGAAAGCGUGGGUAGCAAACAGG
rnacentral:rRNA from 1 species